rnacentral:rRNA from 1 species
AUUGAACGCUGGCGGCAGGCCUAACACAUGCAAGUCGAGCGGAGCGGCGGACGGGCGAGUAAUGCCUAGGAAUCUGCCUGGUAGUGGGGGAUAACGUCCGGCUACGGGCGCUAAUACCGCACACUAUCAGAUGAGCCUAGGGGGGAUGAGUUAGUUGGUGGGGUAGAGGCUUACCAAGGCGACGAUCCGUCACUGGUCGGAGAGGAUGAGCAGUCACACUGGAACUGGGACACGGUCCAGACUCCUACGGGAGGCAGCAGUGGGGAAUAUUGGACAAUGGGCGAAAGCCUGAUCCAGCCAUGCCGCGUGUGUGAAGAAGGUCUUCGGAUUGUAAAGUACUUUAAGUUGGGAGGCGUUACCAACAGAAUAAGCACCGGCUAACUUCGUGCCAGCAGCCGCGGUAAUUC